rnacentral:rRNA from 1 species
UAGGGAAUCUUCGGCAAUGGACGAAAGUCUGACCGAGCAACGCCGCGUGAGUGAAGAAGGUUUUCGGAUCGUAAAACUCUGUUGUUAGAGAAGAACAAGGACGUUAGUAACUGAACGUCCCCUGACGGUAUCUAACCAGAAAGCCACGGCUAACUACGUGCCAGCAGCCGCGGUAAUCCGUAGGUGGCAAGCGUUGUCCGGAUUUAUUGGGCGUAAAGCGAGCGCAGGCGGUUUCUUAAGUCUGAUGUGAAAGCCCCCGGCUCAACCGGGGAGGGUCAUUGGAAACUGGGAGACUUGAGUGCAGAAGAGGAGAGUGGAAUUCCAUGUGUAGCGGUGAAAUGCGUAGAUAUAUGGAGGAACACCAGUGGCGAAGGCGGCUCUCUGGUCUGUAACUGACGCUGAGGCUCGAAAGCGUGGGGAGCAAACAGG